GACGAACCGUGCGAACGUUGUUCGGAAUCACUGGGCUUAAAGGGCGCGUAGGCGGGUCGGCAAGUCCGGGGUGAAAGCCCCCAGCUCAACUGGGGAAGCGCCUUGGAUACUGCCAGUCUUGAGGGAGGUAGGGGCGUGCGGAACUUCCGGUGGAGCGGUGAAAUGCGUAGAUAUCGGAAGGAACACCGGUGGCGAAAGCGGCGCGCUGGACCUCUUCUGACGCUGAGGCGCGAAAGCCAGGGGAGCAAACGGG
rnacentral:rRNA from 1 species